CCUUCUAGAAGGAAAAGCAAAAAAAGUUAGGUAUGAUGAAGAUUGUGAGGUGGCUGUUUUUGAGCUUGGAAUGGUCUUUGAUGGUGUAACACAAUUUAGAAAGGCUCUAGCAGACUAUGCUGUAGAAUAUAGAAGGCAGUUGAAGGUAAGACCAAAUGAUAGCCACAGGGUGAAGGCUAAGUGUAAAAAUACCAAGUGUAAGUGGCUGUUGGCAGCUAAGCUUGAUAGGGACACAAGUGAUUUUAAGGUGAUUACCUAUCAUCCCAUUCACAAGUGUAUUCCUUUGAACAAAAACAAGAUGUACACUUCUAAGCUAAUAGCAAGGAAGUUUAAGGACAGGAAGUCAAUCUCAACUAACUCCACCAACUCAAUCCAGCUCUGUUUGUAGUGACACAAGUUUUGUGCCAAGAGAUGCCCAAACUGUUGCUCCAACACCAGCAUCUAGAAUGCUGGGUCCUGCAUAUCCAACUGCUAGUUCAGCUUAUGCAACUACACAAUCAAGCUCAAUUUGUGGUGACACAAGGGCUGUGCCAGUAGCUCCACAAAAGAGGGCUCAAGUUGGAGCUGGCAGGGGAAGGGGCAGAAAAAAUUCACAAAUGCAAGAGGGGUACCAUUUGUGAGUGCAAGAGAAGAUUCUUCUUCAAGUCAAUUGCCACCAUUAUCAGGCCACAAAAGGGCAUAUACUACUGCUGGUUUUGCUGCAGCUACUGGAAAUAAAAGUAGGCCUACAACUGGUUUUUGUGUAUACUCUAAUCCUGUUACUGGAGCACAAGUCUUUAAUCCUGGUACAACAAGUGAGAGGGUUCUACAUGGUGCAACAAACUUGAAGAGUGCUUCACCAACAAAUAUUGAUAUUGCUUAUAAAGCUCGUGGAUUGAAAUGGCAAGGAAAAGAUGCAAUGACCACAUCAAAACUAUCCCGAAUGAGAGCCAACAAGAGAAACCAGAAGGCUGCAUCAGUAGCAAGCAGAUCUUCAGUAGAAGGAAGCUCCAACAAGUAGUUAAUGUAGGAAAUUUGUCACAUUUAGGGUAUUUGAAACAAUGUCUUUAUUAUAUGUAAACUGCAGCAGUGCUGUCUAGCUAGACUUAUUAUUAUGCGUUAUUGUUGUGCCAAUGACAUUAGCAGUAAUACUCUUCGAUUUGUGGAAAUCAAAUUUGUGCCAAUACUACU